rnacentral:rRNA from 1 species
AACGAACGCUGGCGGCAUGCCUAACACAUGCAAGUCGAACGAGAUCUUCGGAUCUAGUGGCGCACGGGUGCGUAACGCGUGGGAAUCUGCCCUUUGCUUCGGAAUAACAGUUAGAAAUGACUGCUAAUACCGGAUGAUGUCUUCGGACCAAAGAUUUAUCGGCAAAGGAUGAGCCCGCGUAGGAUUAGGUAGUUGGUGGGGUAAAGGCCUACCAAGCCGACGAUCCUUAGCUGGUCUGAGAGGAUGAUCAGCCACACUGGGACUGAGACACGGCCCAGACUCCUACGGGAGGCAGCAGUGGGGAAUAUUGGACAAUGGGCGAAAGCCUGAUCCAGCAAUGCCGCGUGAGUGAUGAAGGCC